rfam:Angiostrongylus costaricensis strain Costa Rica genome assembly, scaffold: ACOC_scaffold0002241
AUCAUUCUGGCCGAGUGGUCCAAGGCGCUGCGUUCAGGUCGCAGUUCUCUUCGGAGAGCAGAGGUUCGAAUCCUGUGGACGAUA